GAUCAGAACCCCUGGGACCCGCCCACGCCCUCCUCAGCUGCCCUCUCCGGCCGGCCUUCCUCCUCUCCCUCCUCUCCCUCCCCUCUCCUCCUCCCAGCCUUCCCAUCCAGUAACCCCGUUUGCUCCAAGACCAGCUUCCUUUGCCUUGCUCUGCUCUGUUGUUUGUUUGUUUGUUUGAUGACCCCUUGCCGGAGGAGACAGAGCCAGCCACGCUGAUCGCUGACCGUGGGUUCCUGUCCAGGACCCUGCCUCUGCUGCUAUCUCCACCCUCACAACCCAGGAAUCCCAAAACCAAGACGUGUGACAUAAAAUAUCGGAGUCCCUCUGGGACAGGGAAGGUGGAGGAACUCUGCAGGGGAGAAGGGCCUGGGAUGGAGCCCAGGGCGGGCUGCCCAGCAAGGACCACGCCAGAGCGUCUGUCACCGGCUCCAGCCUCCGGACACAAUGGAGAGCACACACCAGGCGGAACAAAACAGUGGCAAUUGAUGACAAAUGGACUGAGCUGCCCCCACGUCCCCUCCCCACUCUCUGUUACCAUGGAGACACCAGCCAGCCGAAGCCAGGAGAUCAGGAAAUGUCCAUAAAGGACGGUCUGGUGGACACAGGUGCUUGGGGUACCAAUGCAUCGGAACCUGCUGGGAGGACAAUGGAGCCUGCAAACAGGAGUAGGAAGUGGAGCCAAAAGGUGGACCUGGUCAUACUUGACUCUCUGGUCCCAGUGGACCUGAAGCAAAGUUACACCCCUCCCCUUGCAGGGGCACCCUGAUCAACACUUCCUUGGGCUCCAGGAGCUGCAGUAGUAUUUCUCCCCCUGGCUUCUCUUUUAUGCAGGCUGGAGUUGUGCAUUUGUGUUUGCACUCAGCGGUCCUAACUAUGUACCCACUUUUAUCAUCUUGGCUCCCUGAGGCCAGGUUGACGUUGGGGUCAUUGUGAUCCUCGGUGCCUACCUCGUUGCUGGCACUCAAAGUUUGUUGAAUGAAUAAUUUAGUUGGCUGCAUUUCUAACUCAGAAUCAAAAAAAACUCUGCGCAACAAUCUGAUCUAAGAGACUUUCCCAGGUUUCACGACUUCUUUGCCUCCUGGAGCAACAGCAUCCUUCCUGUGGGGAAAGCUCAGGAGUUCUAGCAAGAGCACCGGGCACUGAGUUCAGCAAAGCCUGCAACAGCCAUUCACAUGCACUAGCUCAUCCGAUCUGGAGGGGUCCUGCUGUUGUAAGCAUCUCCCUUUUCACACGUGACUGUACGGAGGCCUGCGGAGGCAAAACAGCUCGCCCAAGAUUGGUCACGUGGGAUUGCUCCAACUCCAGUCCAGCUCUGCCUGGCUCCAAAUCCAGCACUCUUAGACUUUUUUCCUUCUGGGAUCUUCUCACUAGGUGUCCUGUGCUGCUUGGCUGUCUUUGAUCAAAGUCCCAGAAUGUUCGUGCUGAGUUUUAUGCUGGAGUACUGGAAAACUCCACCCUGACCCCGGUCCUGAGUCUGAGAAGAACUCUCACAUAGUAAGUGGAAGCUACAAAAAAAGACCUGGGGGCCUGGAGCCUCAGCAAGACCACGCAGUCAAGAUUUCUUAUUCCCAGCCGAGCCAGCCAAGCAUGACGGAGAACACUGCAAGAUGUUUCCCCAGCACCUUAAAUGCAGAGCUCUGAUCUGACCUCCACGUGAGGACAUACAUGUCAUCUUUGCAGAGCUCUUGUUGGAACUGAACGUUCAUUGGUUCCAUGUCAAUGUUUAAAAAAUGCCAAACUAUUGUUGGAUUUGCAUAUGCAUUUAAUAUAUUUGCAUCCUCCAGAGAAGGAUGAGUGAAACCCCUCAAAGGUGGA